AACGAACGCUGGCGGCAUGCCUAACACAUGCAAGUCGAACGAGACCUUCGGGUCUAGUGGCGCACGGGUGCGUAACGCGUGGGAACCUGCCCUUAGGUUCGGAAUAACUCCCCGAAAGGGGUGCUAAUACCGGAUAAUGUCUUCGGACCAAAGAUUUAUCGCCUUUGGAUGGGCCCGCGUUGGAUUAGCUAGUUGGUAGGGUAAAAGCCUACCAAGGCGACGAUCCAUAGCUGGUCUGAGAGGAUGAUCAGCCACACUGGGACUGAGACACGGCCCAGAAUCCUACGGGAGGCAGCAGUGGGGAAUAUUGGACAAUGGGCGAAAGCCUGAUCCAGCAAUGCCGCGUGAGUGAUGAAGGCAUUAGAGUUGUAAAGCUCUUUUAACCGGGAUGAUAAUGACAGUACCGGGAGAAUAAGCUCCGGCUAACUCCGUG
rnacentral:rRNA from 1 species